ensembl:lncRNA uncharacterized LOC111944540
GAGGGCAGGAGGGAUGGAGCGGGGAAGGGAUAUUUGUGGCACUACCUGCUGUUGUUUUCCCCAGGGCUUUAGGGAGGGUUUUCUCUUUGGGAGGGGAGAGAGCUCCCAGGAGCCCCCGGCUGCCCCACUUUCCUCUCCAGGGAUGUUGCACAGGGCAUGGAAAGAGGGUGGAGAGUGACCAGGAGCCAGCCCAGAGCUCCCCAGGCCCCUCUGCAGAUUUGGCCCUGUCCAUUGACACUGUCUGCCACGGCCUACCCCAAACCCCUUGCAGUGCCCAGUCCCCUAAGGCAGAAGGGGAUCCCAGAAUGCACCAUGGACAUGGUUCUGAUCUGUACUCCAAUCUAGAUUGGAAUCAUCACAUGGAUUACCUGGAAGUAAUGAAUGAUGGCUUGAAAUUCUUGGAGGAUGUUGGAGCCAAGCCGCUUGGUGAAGGUGAUGCAGCUUCUCAACCCACACCCAGGACUGAGCCUCAGAGAGGUGGUGAGGUUACAGGUGUGUCUGCAGGGAGCGCUUCCCCAGAUCUUGAGGUGGUUACUGCACCCAAGCCUGGCUCCCAUCGCAGGGGUCCUCCAAAAAGAAAGACCCAAGAUAAUGGAACCAAAAAGUCUCUAUCAUCAAAUGAUUUCCUGAGACCAACAGAGAAAGAAGUGCAGGGAGGACAAGAUUCAGCCGGCACCACAACUCAUGCUCAGACUAUCUGGGAAAGCAUGAGAAGAAUUUUCAGCCCGGGAACACAUGGUUUGAUUAAGCUAAUGGCCAUUUUGGUUGCUGGAGCCCUUUUUCUGAUGAUGUGCUGUGCUGGAAUCUGGUAUUGCUGGAACAGAAAAGGGAGCACAUCUGCACCUUCAGAAGACCAGCCAAAGACUCCACUCAGCGAGAAGCUGACCUGUCAUCCCCGGUCUUUAAAUCUGUCCCCAUCUGCUGUGCUGCAGCCCCAUUUUGAGGGUGUCCCAAAACCUAUACCUCCAAAGCUAAACCCUAUUCCCCAGACCCCCCUGGAUCUGCUCCCUAGUGUGCAGGAGGUGCCCUGUGUGCCAGGAGCAGAUGGGGCCUCAGCCGCCUCCUCUCUGCUCAGGAGCACCUCUGCACCUUCAGAAGACCUGACAAAGACUUUAGUCAGCGAGCACUUGACCUGUUACCCCUGCGCUUCAGCUCUGUCCCCAUCUGCUUUGCUGCGGGUGCAGCCCCGUUUUGAGGGCGUCAUAAAACCCAAACCUCCAAAGCGAGACCCUCUGCCCCUGAGCCCCCUGGCCCUGCACCCUGGCCAGGACUGAAGGUGGGCAGCCCCUGUCCACCAGAGCAAGCCUUGGCCCAUGUUUUGUGUUUAAAUAUUGGCCCAUGUUUUGUGUUCAAAUAUUGGCCCAUGUUUUGUGUUCAAAUAUUAUCCCAUGUUUUGUGUUCCACCAGCAAAGCCCACAGGGCACCAGCCCCGGCUGAGCUCCAUGUCCAGGAGCAGCCGGUGACUCAAGCCAGAGUUUUCCAGCUAGCUCAAAUACAGGUUUUCUUCUCUCUCCGGCCCACUGCCAGGAGGGAUCCCUGCCAGAGCUGCUGUCUGGGUUUAGAUCAGGAUUUGAGCAGUCCAAUUCCCUCUGAGCACAAGUCUAUAGACCAAGUAAAGAAGCUGUAAUAAAUUUUUAUUAUUUGUUAAUCA